rnacentral:rRNA from 1 species
ACGCUCGACACCUACGGGGGGCAGCAGUGGGGAAUAUUGGGCAAUGGGCGAAAGCCUGACCCAGCAACGCCGCGUGAGGGAAGAAGGUUUUCGGAUUGUAAACCUCUGUCCUCAGGGACGAAGGACGUGACGGUACCUGAGGAGGAAGCCCCGGCUAACUACGUGCCAGCAGCCGCGGUAAUCUGAGCGGGCUGGCAAGGC